rnacentral:lncRNA from 1 species
AGUGACAUAGCAAGCAGACUCAUAAUAUAAGCAGGAAAUCGCUCUCUUGCUCUUCUUCUUCCUCCUGCUCUCUUCUCUAAAGAGCUGCCAUGUGAUCCCAGGAAAAGAACGUCCUCGAUAAAGGUCUUUGCAAGAAGCCUCAUUUAUUCUUGAAUUCCAGGAACCUAGGAACUAAGAAAAGCUUUGUUGUGUGGCUGACAGCUUCAGAUCUGGCAUGCACAAUGAAGGGAAAAUCAAAUGGGACCAUCCAUUAACAGAAAUGGCAACAUCACACUGCAAGAAGGCUUUUGUACAAGAUGGAAGGAAUAGUCACAGCCAUCUGCAAACUGUCUACCAUGUCACCACUCUGGCCACUGUAGAGAAUUGAGGUGAUAGAGGUUGACAGAGCCAGCUGAGCCAGAAUGGACCACUUACUCCUAUGAUUAUGAACAAAUAAACAGUUACCAUUGAGGCAACUAGAAUUUUGAGAUAGCCUGUCCAAACUAACUAAAACAACUUCUGAACCCUUAAACUAGAUAAAUGCUGCCCCCCUUUUUUGUUUCCCAUUUUAAAUCCUUCUUUAAAAAAACAUAGAAGUCUUUUAAAGUAAACUAGGUCAUGUGAUUUUUCUUCCAAAGUAACUAAAUUUAGUUUUGUGCUUUAUUGUUAUUGAUUUGUCAGUUUCGGGGUUUUUUGAUUUUUGGUUUUGGUUUUGUGUGUGUCUGUGCUUGUUUUGGGG